rnacentral:rRNA from 1 species
GACGAACGCUGGCGGCGUGCUUAACACAUGCAAGUCAAACGGAAAGGCCCUGCUUUUGUGGGGUGCUCGAGUGGCGAACGGGUGAGUAACACGUGAGUAACCUGCCCUUGACUUUGGGAUAACUUCAGGAAACUGGGGCUAAUACCGGAUAGGAGCUCCUGCUGCAUGGUGGGGGUUGGAAAGUUUCGGCGGUUGGGGAUGGACUCGCGGCUUAUCAGCUUGUUGGUGGGGUAGUGGCUUACCAAGGCUUUGACGGGUAGCCGGCCUGAGAGGGUGACCGGCCACAUUGGGACUGAGAUACGGCCCAGACUCCUACGGGAGGCAGCGGUGGGGAAUAUUGCACAAUGGGCGGAAGCCUGAUGCAGCAACGCCGCGUGCGGGAUGACGGCCUUCGGGUUGUAAACCGCUUUCGCCUGUGACGAAGCGUGAGUGACGGUAAUGGGUAAAGAAGCACCGGCUAACUACGUG